rnacentral:rRNA from 1 species
UACCGAGGGUGCGAGCGUUGUCCGGAAUCACUGGGCGUAAAGGGCGCGUAGGUGGCGCGACAAGUCAGUGGUGAAAGCUCGACGCUCAACGUCGAGUCGGCCACUGAUACUGUUGGGCUUGAGCACUGUAGAGGCUAAUGGAAUUCCGGGUGUAGCGGUGGAAUGCGUAGAGAUCCGGAAGAACACCGGUGGCGAAGGCGGUUAGCUGGGCAGUUGCUGACACUGAGGCGCGACAGCGUGGGGAGCAAACAGG